rnacentral:rRNA from 1 species
CAACUUUUAGCAACGGAUCUCUAGGUUCUCGCAACGAUGAAGAACGCAGCGAAUUGCGAAAAGUAAUGUGAAUUGCAUAAUUCCGUGAAUCAUCAAAUCUUUGAACGCACCUUGCGCUAGCUGGAACUCCGGCUAGCAUGCGUGUUUGAGUAUCAGAA